rnacentral:rRNA from 1 species
GACGAACGCUGGCGGCGGGCUUAACACAUGCAAGUCGAACGGAAAGGCCCUGCUUUUGUGGGGUGUUCGAGUGGCGAACGGGUGAGUAACCCGUGAGUAAGCUGCCCUUGACUUUGGGAUAACUUCAGGAAGCUGGGGCUAAUACCGGAUAGGAGCUCCUGCUGCAUGGUGGGGGUUGGAAAGUUUCGGCGGGUGGGGAUGGACUUGCGGCUUAUCAGCUUGUUGGUGGGGUAGUGGCUAACCAACGCUUUGACUGGUGGCCGGCCUGAGAGGGUGAACGGCCACAAUGGGACUGAGAUACGGAGCAGUGUGCUACGGGAGGCAGCAGUGGGGAAUAUUAUACAGUGGGCGGAAGUCUGUUGCAGCAGUGCCGCGUGUGGGAUGACGUCCUUCGGGUUGUGAACCGCUUUAGGCUGUGACGAAGCGUGAGUGACGGUAAUGGGUAAAGAAGCACCGGCUAACUACGUG